GGUUCUUGUUUCUCUUCAAAUUGUAUAAAUCUUUUGCCUUUUACUAAAGAUUUCCAUGGAGAGAAACUGCAAGAGUUUAACCCAAUUUUUUGAUACCCUGCUUGUUAGUGGGGUG
ensembl:snRNA U5 U5 spliceosomal RNA